rnacentral:pre_miRNA from 1 species
GGAAGUUAAGAAACCGUUUCUUAACUUUUAACUAAAAAAGCUAAGAACCGGUUCUUAAAUAAGGACUUUAAGAACCAGUUCUUAGCUUUUUUAGUUAAAAGUUAAGAAACAGUUUCUUAACUUCC